rnacentral:lncRNA from 1 species
UAUUGAUUGAGGAAAGUUUAUUUUUGUGUUUUUUGCGUAUUUAAUUAAAAUGUGCUAUAUCAUUCCUUACACACAAGGAAUGUAGAAUAACAUAUUUUAAAAAUAAAAUAACAGAUUUUGACAAACUAAAAUUUAUCCAAUAAAAUUAACUAAUUCAAAAUGAGUAAUUGCCCAUAACUGAAUUUAAGUAACUGAAAUCUGAUAAUAGAGUUUCUUAGCUUUGUUUCGAUAUUUUUGUUUAAUUUUUGUUUUUUUGAAAUGAUUUGUUUGAUAAGCAGGGUGUAGUGGCUAAUCUGAAGAAUCAAAUAUUAUGGUUGCAAAAGGAAAAUCAAAUACUUAAGAUGAAGGUCGAACAAUGAGCUCUAUAAUUUUCCGCACAUGUUUCAUGUCUUCAAUUUAUAUUUUGGCAUUUACUGUUAUUUUGAUCUGUUUAUGGUUAUUUAGAAAUAUUUCCUUUUUUACAAAAUGAUUAACUUGAUACUUUUCCCAAGAAGAAACAUUGGAUUGAAUAAAGUUUUUUAUUUUAUUUUGCAUUAUGGUUAUAUAUUGUUAUUGAUUGAGUAAAGUUUUUCUUUACGUUUUUCGUGUAUUUAAUUAAAAUGUGAUAUACAAUUCCUUACACACAAGGAAGGUAGAAUAACAUAUUUUAACAAUAAAAUAACAGAUUUUGGCAAAUUGAAAGUUAUCCAAUAAAAUUAACUUACUCAAUAUAAGUAAAUACCUAUUAUCGAAUUUCACUAUUAACUGACAUCUGAUAAUAAAAACUAACAAAUUAACUCAAUUGUUUAUCUAUAAGUAUUGGCUUCAGAACUUGUUAUUCUAAAUUCUCAUUUCUAGACCCUUUUACUGUAAUUUCUUUACUUCAUAUUGCACACGCAGUGUAAUUUUCUUGGUUAACCAAGUAGUUCUUGGAAUGAAUACCAGAAAACUUGAAUCUACUGCGCCAUAUUUGGAUACAGAAGAAGUUUUGGGGAUGAAUGGAACAAAACUUGAAUCUUAUGAGCUUCGAAAAGAAAUGGAAAAGUUAAAUCAAUUUAAUCUUUUUUAAUAUGGUGUUUAGUUUUUUGCUUUAAUUGUUUUUCCUUAAUUUUGAAUUUGAUUUUGAUUUGUUAGAGUAUUGUUCUUGAUCGUUGGAGUGGGACGAAGAACAUAUUCACCGAAUUUCUUGAGAUUUCAAAACGAGCUGACGAAGGAUUCUUUUAAUUCUACUUUUGAUUUUUAUAUUAACUUUUUUUCAAUUUAUUUACUUAAUUUUGUUAUGUUUGAUAUUAUAGCCAACCAUUUCUUAUCAAGUUAUCCUGAACAAGAAUUUUGUGAAAUGAUUUGUUUGAUUAGCAGGGUGUAGUAGCCGUAUUGUAGAAUCAAAUACUGCGGUUGCAAAAGGAAAAUCUAAUUCUUAAGAUGAAGGUCCAAAACUGAACUCUAUUACUUUCUGCGUAUUUUUCAUGUCUUCAAUUCUUAUUUUAGCAUUUUCUAUUAUUUUGAACUGUUUGUAGUUAUUUUGAAAUAUUUCUUUUUUUACAGAAUGAUGAACUUGAGGCACUUCCCUAGAAGAAGCAUUGGAUUGAGUAAAGUUUUU